CAAAAGGCAGUGGGAGCAGGGAAGGAGGGAAAGAGCCGAGAGAGAGGCCUGCAGGCACAAUGGGAAGGGAAGGAGAGAAGGAGAGAAACAUCAAUGUGUGGCUGCCUCUCGUGAGUCCCCUGCUGGGAACUGGUCCGCAGCCCAGGCAUGUGCCCCGACCGGGAAUUGAACCGCGAUCAUGUGGUUCGCAGGCCCGUGCUCAAUCCACUGAGCCACACCAGCCAGGGCUCAUUUAUUUUUAAAAAGGAAGCUGAGAGUGCCAUCAUCGUCCUCUUCUUCUUCUUCAGAAAAUUUCUAAUAAAGUUUAAGUGAA